rnacentral:rRNA from 1 species
UACGUAGGUGGCGAGCGUUGUCCGGAUUUACUGGGCGUAAAGGGAGCGUAGGCGGAUUUUUAAGUGAGAUGUGAAAUACUCGGGCUCAACUUGAGUGCUGCAUUUCAAACUGGAAGUCUAGAGUGCAGGAGAGGAGAAUGGAAUUCCUAGUGUAGCGGUGAAAUGCGUAGAGAUUAGGAAGAACACCAGUGGCGAAGGCGAUUCUCUGGACUGUAACUGACGCUGAGGCUCGAAAGCGUGGGGAGCAAACAGG